rnacentral:rRNA from 1 species
GACGAACGCUGGCGGCGUGCUUAACACAUGCAAGUCGAGCGGUAAGGCCCUUUCGGGGGUACACGAGCGGCGAACGGGUGAGUAACACGUGGGUGACCUGCCCUUAGCUCUGGGAUAAGCCUGGGAAACUGGGUCUAAUACCGGAUAUGACUCCAUGACGCAUGUUGUGGGGUGGAAAGCCUUGUGCGGCUAGGGAUGGGCCCGCGGCCUAUCAGCUUGUUGGUGGGGUGAUGGCCUACCAAGGCGACGACGGGUAGCCGGCCUGAGAGGGUGACCGGCCACACUGGGACUGAGACACGGCCCAGACUCCUACGGGAGGCAGCAGUGGGGAAUAUUGCACAAUGGGCGAAAGCCUGAUGCAGCGACGCCGCGUGAGGGAUGACGGCCUCGGUGUAAC